rnacentral:rRNA from 1 species
UACGAAGGGGGGCUAGCGUUGCUCGGAAUCACUGGGCGUAAAGGGCGCGUAGGCGGCGUUUAAGUCGGGGGUGAAAGCCUGUGGCUCAACCACAGAAUGGCCUCGAUACUGGGACGCUUGAGUAUGGUAGAGGUUGGUGGAACUGCGAGUGUAGAGGUGAAAUUCGUAGAUAUUCGCAAGAACACCAGUGGCGAAGGCGGCCAACUGGACCAACACUGACGCUGAGGCGCGAAAGC